rnacentral:rRNA from 1 species
AUUGAACGCUGGCGGCAGGCUUAACACAUGCAAGUCGAGCGGAGAUGAGGUGCUUGCACCUUAUCUUAGCGGCGGACGGGUGAGUAAUGCUUAGGAAUCUGCCUAUUAGUGGGGGACAACAUUCCGAAAGGAAUGCUAAUACCGCAUACGCCCUACGGGGGAAAGCAGGGGAUCUUCGGACCUUGCGCUAAUAGAUGAGCCUAAGUCGGAUUAGCUAGUUGGUGGGGUAAAGGCCUACCAAGGCGACGGUCUGUAGCGGGUCUGAGAGGAUGAGCCGCCACACUGGGACUGAGACACGGCCCAGACUCCUACGGGAGGCAGCAGUGGGGAAUAUUGGACAAUGGGCGGAAGCCUGAUCCAGCCAUGCCGCGUGUGUGAAGAAGGCCUUUUGGUUGUAAAGCACUUUAAGCGAGGAGGAGGCUACCUGGAUUAAUACUCUAGGAUAGUGGACGUUACUCGCAGAAUAAGCACCGGCUAACUCUGUGCCAGCCGCCGCUGUAAGAC